CCUACGGGUGGCAGCAGUGGGGAAUAUUGGACAAUGGGCGAAAGCCUGAUCCAGCCAUGCCGCGUGUGUGAAGAAGGCCUUCGGGUUGUAAAGCACUUUCAGUGGGGAAGAAAGCCUUGGGGCUAAUACCCUCGAGGUAGGACAUCACCCACAGAAGAAGCACCGGCUAACUCCGUGCCAGCAGCCGCGGUAAUACGGAGGGUGCGAGCGUUAAUCGGAAUUACUGGGCGUAAAGCGCGCGUAGGCGGUCUGAUAAGCCGGUUGUGAAAGCCCCGGGCUCAACCUGGGAACGGCAUCCGGAACUGACAGGCUAGAGUGCAGGAGAGGAAGGUAGAAUUCCCGGUGUAGCGGUGAAAUGCGUAGAGAUCGGGAGGAAUACCAGUGGCGAAGGCGGCCUUCUGGACUGACACUGACGCUGAGGUGCGAAAGCGUGGGUAGCAAACAGGAUUAGAUACCCUUGAGUC
rnacentral:rRNA from 1 species